GGCGAACGGGCGAGUAACGCGUGGGUAACCUGCCCAGAAGUAGGGGAUAGCCCCGGGAAACCGGGGGUAAUACCGCAUGUGCUCCAGUCGACGCGAGUCGACUGUUGGAAAGGCGGGGAUCUUUCGGGACCCGUCGCUUCUGGAUGGGCCCGCGUCCGAUUAGCUAGUUGGUGGGGUAACGGCCUACCAAGGCAACGAUCGGUAGCCGGCCUGAGAGGGUGAACGGCCACAUUGGGACUGAGACACGGCCCAGACUCCUACGGGAGGCAGCAGUGGGGAAUUUUGGGCAAUGGGCGCAAGCCUGACCCAGCGACGCCGCGUGGAGGAUGAAGGCCUUCGGGUUGUAAACUCCUGUCAGGUGGGAAGAAAUCACCGCCGGUUAAUACCCGGCGGCGUUGACGGUACCACCAAAGGAAGCCCCGGCUAACUCCGUGCCAGCAGCCGCGGUAAUACGGAGGGGGCAAGCGUUAUUCGGAUUUACUGGGCGUAAAGCGCACGUAGGCGGCAAUGCAAGUCGUAGGUGAAAGCCCUCGGCUCAACCGAGGAACUGCCUUC
rnacentral:rRNA from 1 species